rnacentral:lncRNA from 1 species
CAAGCAGGCAGGGACCGAGAGGGGUGAUGGCGCGCCCACCCCUGCAGAGCCGCCUGCGCGGUUGUCCCGCGCGUCCCUGCCGGCGAAGGCUGUGAGAAGCACCGCGGGGCUACGGCGCCUCCAUCCUCUCUAACAGCCGCGCUUACCAGACAGCCAGCCUCCAGCGCUGCUAGGCUACUCCGAGCAGGGGAGAAAAGACGCCGGUCCGCCGGGGACCAGGAGGGAGACGUGAAACCAGAGGCCCGGGGGCCCCCUCUCCGCCUGUGCGACUUGUAGUCUCGUACCAGACGCGUCCGCUUCACUGCUGAAUCUGAAAACGUGGGCUCUUGAGAGCUGCCCUUGGAAGGAGCUGUGCUUUCUGCCUCAUCUUUAACUUUUCGUUUAUUCAGCAAAUAUGUAUCAAGUUCCGACUUCGUGGAAGAGAUUGUGUUAGACACUGGGAGUAAUAGAAACAUAAUUAAGAAGCAGGGGUCCCGGACCUGAAGGGCCUGAGCGUCGGGAAUUGGCUGAAGUAAUUAUGUAGGCCGAGAAGUCCCAGAAUCUGCAGUUCACAAGCUGGAGACCCAGGAGAGCCAAUAUGUCAUUUCAGUUCAAGUCCAAAGGCUGGAGAACCAGAAGAGCUGAUGGUUUAUUUCCUGUCUGAAAGCAAACAGGGUGGAGACCCAAGGAAAACAGAUGACUGAGUCCUACUGGGAAGGCUAGAAAAGAUGACGUCCCAAGUCAAUCAGUCUGGUGGGAGCAGUUUCCUGUUCUGAAGGCUGAGAAGUUCAAGAGCAAGUGCUGGCAUCUGAUGAGGGCCUUCUUGCUGUAUCAUCCUACGGUGGAAGGGUUUCACUGUAUCUCCCAGGCUGGAAUAUAGUGGAGAUCAUGGCUCACUGCAACCUUGACCUCCUGGGCUCAAGCGGUCUUCACACCUCAGCCUCCCCAGUAGCUGAUCCUACAGGUUCUUUCAAACUGGGAAAGCUCAUUAAAAGAAAAAUGAGAAAAUCUAUUGGCUGGAUCCUGAACCCUUGGAAGCUCUGUCUGGAUACAUUCUUCUCUGGCAGGAUGCUCUAUGUGGCUCUUUCCAUGUGUAGUUUCCAAUGAAACAGGAAGGACUCUAAUUGAGUGCCUGCCCACAUCUCUACAGCUCCACACCUUCCACUAAGGGCACAAUAAGACCUCCACUGUGAGAGGCUCCACAGUGUACUACGUUGGUGAUGGCAUAUUCUGAGGGGCUGAUCUGCAGAAAAGGCCAAGUGAAAAGUCACCCAAUAAUGAGAAAGGAGGAAGAUGGCAUGUAGAAUGCAUGAAUAGGAAAUUAUAUUGAGAAAUCCAGAUGUGCAGUUGUGCAAGAGCAAGCUGGUGUGGAUUUUUGAAUGGAUAUUCUGAAGACAACUAGGUAGUGCAUGAAGGCUUCUUAGAUGAAGAGUAAUGGGGAUGUCUUACACAGCAAGAUGAGAAAACACAGACCACUUGGCUCUCUAGCGAGGACCAGAAUUUGAGUCAAAAUUAUAUGCCGGAUGCCAUGUUGUCAGCUGCCCUAUGGAGAGACCCAUGUGGGCAAGGAACUCUGGCCAACAGAUGGUCUGGGUGGUCUCUGGUCCACAGCCAGGGAAGAGCUGAGCACCUCUGACCAGAGGCUUAUGACAAACUGAAUCCUGCCAGCAAGACACCAACCAAUCCAGAAGUAUCAGCCAUCUCCCUAUGCAGGGUGCCAGAGGACCAGGUUCUAGCCCAUUCAUUGCUGGAUUGCGGAGGACUCCAGGUGGUCUGGGAAAAGGAGUGGAGCAACAUGCAGCAUGUCCCAGCAAAGCUUCGCAAAGAUGUCAGUAUUAAUUGUCACCAUCCUCCAGGGAGAAAGCAACAGCCCACAAUUGCCUGCAUUUUCUUUCCUCUUCAAAACCACUUCUGCUCCAAAGACCAUGAACCUGAACUGAAGAAACGACUCCUUCCUGCUGGUGUGAGAUAAUUCAGUCUCCAUGAUGUCUUAAUCCUGGGCCUCCCUUAAUUGACUUCUAACUGUGCUGAACUGUGGCUGCUAGGAGUUGCAAUGUGGAUCGCAAUUUACAAGGCACUGGAAUCGUUUCUUGUCUUCAAAUUAGUCCUGAGCUGUACUGGAGAAAGAAAAAAAAGGGGCCUUUACCCUUCUUGCUGUCUUGUCACCACAAGUGAGACUUUCUUACAGUCUCAGAAUGGAUGGUUGCCUUUUAACAAUUUAGUUAGGGACAGAAAGGAAAAAGAGUUAGGGUUGCCAAUACUUCGUCAAUUUUGUCUUAAUAAAGUUGCCUCACAUGGCGGAAGAGAAAAAGACCGGUCUCUGUUUGGAAAUUACAAACAUAGAAGAACUUAGAAACAAUGGGUUUCUAGAUUGGGUGGAAGGACUGGCUUGGGAUCCUGAGAGAGCAAGAAAAGUUUACCGGGAGCUUCAGAAAAAGUUAUUCAUCAUUUUUGGAGUGGAUAUUCAGAAGUGACUUCCCUCUUUUGCUCUGGGGCAACCAGCCCAGUUCAAUUUGCCUGGGGGCUUUUGACUCUACAAUCUCUUCCAACAUUAAACAAGUGAAUCCUGCGCACCCUCAGACUUCAGAAGAACUGACCCAAGGACAAAGGUCCACCCAGGCCAUGGAAGAGGCUCCUCAACCGUUUGGGUGCCUGGCUACUUCAAGAGUUGAGCUAAUCACAGGGAAGAUUCAGUCUCAGUUCAGCUGCCUCAUUUGAUCAGCUCAAGACUGAGUCCAACAAAAGUGGUCUGUCUAAUGAAACUCAUUUUCAUUUUUUCUCAUUAGUCUAUACACGAUUGAGACUGUAGAACGACAAAAGAAUAAAAAGAAGAAUGACAAUUAAAAAUCAUUUUCUCUGGCCCUUG